rnacentral:rRNA from 1 species
AUGGGUGAGUAACACGUACCUAACCUACCUUUUGGACCGGGAUAACCAUUGGAAACAGCGGCUAAUACCGGAUAUAAUAAAAAAAUGCAUGUUUUUUUAUCAAAAGAAGCCUUUAAAGCUUCACCAAAAAAUGGGGGUGCGCAACAUUAGUUAGUUGGUAGGGUAAAGGCCUACCAAGACGAUGAUGUUUAGCGGGGCCAAGAGGCUGUACCGCCACACUGGGAUUGAGAUACGGCCCAGACUCCUACGGGAGGCAGCAGUAAGGAAUAUUCCACAAUGAGCGAAAGCUUGAUGGAGCGACACAGAGUGCAGGAUGAAGUCUUUAGGGAUGUAAACUGCUGUUGUAAGGGAAGAAAAAACUAGAUAGGAAAUGAUUUAGUCUUGACGGUACCUUAUUAGAAAGUGACGGCAAACUAUGUGCCAGCAGCCGCGGUAAUACAUAGGUCGCAAGCGUUAUCCGGAAUUAUUGGGCGUAAAGCGUCCGCAGGUUUUUUGUUAAGUUUAAGGUUAAAUGCUAAAGCUCAACUUUAGUUCGCUUUAGAUACUGACAAAAUAGAAUUAUGAAGAGGUUAGCGGAAUUCCUAGUGGAGCGGUGGAAUGCGUAGAUAUUAGGAAGAACACCAAUAGGCGAAGGCAGCUAACUGGUCAUAUAUUGACACUAAUGGACGAAAGCGUGGGGAGCAAACAGGAUUAGAUACCCUGGUAGUCCACGCCGUAAACGAUGAUCAUUAGUUGGUGGCAAAAGUCACUAGCACAGCUAACGCGUUAAAUGAUCCGCCUGAGUAGUAUGCUCGCAAGAGUGAAACUUAAAGGAAUUGACGGGAACCCGCACAAGCGGUGGAGCAUGUGGUUUAAUUUGAAGAUACGCGUAGAACCUUACCCACUCUUGACAUCCUCGCAAAACUAUAGAGAUAUAGCGGAGGCUAACGAGAUGACAGAUGGUGCA